GGAUGCGAUCAUACCAGCACUAAUGCACUGGAUCCCAUCAGAACUCCGAAGUUAAGCGUGCUUAGCGAGAGUAGUACUAGGAUGGGUGACCUCCUGGGAAGUCCUCGUGUUGCAUUCC
rnacentral:rRNA from 2 species